rnacentral:lncRNA from 1 species
CGGCAGGUUCUUCCAUCGCUUGUGCAUUCGUAGGUUGAGCUUCAGAAGGCUCUUCUAUCACUUGUGUAUUAUUGGUGGGUUUGCUCUCUAGGUAUUCAUCACUUUCCAUGUUUUCAGUUUCAUCGUCUGUAGAUGAAGGUGUUAAAGAUUCAGAAGGCUCUUCUAUCACUUGUGCAUUGGUGGGUUUGCUCUCUAGGUAUUCAUCGCUGUCCAUGUUUUCAGUUUCAUCGUCUGUAGAUGAGGGUGUUAAAGAUUCAGAAGGCUCUUCUAUCAGUUGUGUAUUGGUGGGUUUGCUCUCUAGGUAUUCAUCGCUUUCCAUGUUUUCAGUUUCAUCAUCUGUAGAUGAGGGUGUUAAAGAUUCAGAAGGCUCUUCUAUCACUUGUGCAUUGGUGGGUUUGCUCUCUAGGUAUUCAUCGCUGUCCAUGUUUUCAGUUUCAUCGUCUGUAGAUGAGGGUGUUAAAGAUUCAGAAGGCUCUUCUAUCAGUUGUGUAUUGGUGGGUUUGCUCUCUAGGUAUUCAUCGCUUUCCAUGUUUUCAGUUUCAUCAUCUGUAGAUGAGGGUGUUAAAGAUUCAGAAGGCUCUUCUAUCACUUGUGCAUUGGUGGGUUUGCUCUCUAGGUAUUCAUCGCUUUCCAUGUUUUCAGUUUCAUCGUCUGUAGAUGAGGGUGUUAAAGAACCAUCAGAAUUUUGUUGAUCUUUAUCAGAAUCGAACUUUGGC